GUCCCUUCAGACAAAAAUGGACGGACUCCUUUUGGACUACAAUGGAAGAAAGCUGUCAGUGCCACCUCGUCUAUGCUGUGCCAUUUGAACCUGAGGCUGGGGCAUAAAUCUCCACCCUUGGGCCAGCCUUGACAUUCUGUUCCCAGAUGGUGCCUCCCCUGCUGUGGACUCUGCCCCAAAGGGGGACUGGCAUCUCAGCUAGACCUAUCCAUCACAGGAGAACCAGGCCCCUGAAACUCGGAGCAGAGGCCCCAGUAGGGAGCACCUGCCCUCAUGUUUUCACCCCUGUGGCUAAAACAACCCCACCCCCCCAAGUGCACUCAAUACCCCACAGCUUUCCUGAGAGGUUAGAGGUCGUUUGAGGGUGUGAGACAACUUUGCAUGUCCAGAGACACUCUUUUAAGGUGACAUUCACACUCAGGUCUGCAGUUAAAAUCUAUUAGGCCUCAUAUUACAAGCAGGUCAAAGGUCGAGGUGUUAUUAAUGUUGACAAAAGGCCACACAAGCUUCAGACAAAUCACUGAAACAAUCAGAAGUGGAGACAAACUUAUUUUGGGAUGAGAGCAUGAAACUUGGACAAAUGGAGAACAUUUGGAAAUUAAUGGAAAACUGCAAAGAAAAGAUCAAUUGCCCCUGAAAGGGAAAGAGAAAAAGCUUCUUUUCUCCAACCAUCUUUUAUACAAAGAACUGUACUCCUCCCAUUUUUGGUCCAUCUGUUUUAUAUAUUGUGGCCAAAAAACAUCACUCAUUUGAUUGGACCCAAAUGUGAUGCUUGAGGCUCCUUCAUACAUCCAAAGCCUGUAUGACCCUCCUUCUCCUGCUCUCCUCCAACAAAGUUUCUUUCCCCUCUCCCCACUGGUCUUGUUCAAGGGGCACCAGCCUUAACUACAUGUGUGUGUUUGUUUCUGUAAGUGUAAUGGAGGUGGGGGGAAAAGGGGUCUCGUCCCAGCUCACUAGGCUGCCAGCUAAGGUCUACGCUAUGAGGACUACUCAACCUAAAACCUGUGGAUAAAGAAUCAAACCACCUGAGCUAAAACAGUUGCUCUGAGAAGUUUUUUGAGUCAUCUUUAAUUCAUAAAAGUUCCUUCAAAACAUUCAAACCCUUGUCAAAAUGAAAGGCUUUUACUCGGCCCAAGAACAGCUUGCUUUUUGUUUGUUUGUCGCAUGCUGCUACCACAUUAAAAAAACUAACCACUGCUGUAAAAUGGAGCUAAACCAUAUUUUGGUGUAUUUGUUUUAUCCAAGUGUUUGGUGAUGAACAAAAUGUUGAACUAAUUAAAACCAUCCAGGCAAUAGUUGUUGAAACAUGUAAUUGAAAACCACAAAGACCAACCUCAUGGUGGCAAAACAGUCAGAAGAUGUCCAAAGUUGUUGUUAUUUUUCCUCUUGUAACCAGACACAUCUGUAUGAAAUGCAACCACAAUCCAUCUGAUGUCACUUAAAAUGACAUAGUCUGUACCAACUGACAGACCACCAUGAUCAUCCCUGUCAUACUACCAGAAUGUCUACUUAAAAGUAUCGGGAGUGGUAACUGGUUAGUUUGUUGCUCUUCUUUAGCAAAGAAACUGGAUUGGUAAAAUCUACCCUCAUCCAUGUGUAUCCAACUUAAAACCUUCUCUUUCCUAUUGAGGUCUCCACAUGAACCAGAGAGGUAACUAAUAUUUAUAGUAUAGGUUUAUCACACAAAACAAUGUGAAAUUAUACAAUAUCAUACAGUCCAGUACAGACAGUAUGGUGACGGUAUGAUUCUAUCGGAUAUAGUACCACAAACACUAUGGUACCAUAUGAAACAACUUUGAAAGGAACAAUGUAAUACGCAACAAUACAGUACUAGUGUGAUACGAAACACCCCUAUGAUCCAAUACAAUACUAUGUGAUACUAAAUCUGAUGCAAAACAACCAAAAAACAGUAUGACAUGAAAUGGUAUGAUACAAAACAAUACAAUAUGAUAUAAUAUGAUACAAUGUGAAAUAAGAUGGAAUACAUUACAAUACGAUACAGUAUGGUAUGUUGCAGUACAAUGCAAUACUGUAUGUUAUUACACUAUAUGAUGAAAUAUAAUGCAAUAUGAUGUGCCACUGUAAGACAUAUAAUACAAUACUAGAUGAUGCAAAAAUAAGAUAUAUUGCAACACGGUAUGAUGUAAUGUGAUACGCCAAACCACAGCAGGAUCCAAUAUGAUACUAUAAAGUAGAAUAUAAUAAGAAUUAUUUUGAUAUGAUACGGUACAGUUCAAUUUCAUAUGAUAUAAUAUGCCAUGGUUACCUAUGAUGGAUAGGAACAAAUGAUGAUAUGAAACCAUACCAUACCAUACCAUAUAAAAUAAAAGAACCUUUAAACUAAUUUAUUGUGCAGUGGUUGGUUCAUAGUGAUUUGAUUGAUGUACGAUUCUAAUGGAUCUCUUUUGUAAUUCAAACAAAAAAAUCAGUCUUUGUUUUGUUAGUGCUGCUCUUUAUACUAUAAACUAACUAUAGAGAAGAAAAGGACUGUUUGAACUCUGAUUCAACAUAUUUUGAGUUUUGUACACCAAUGGUUUUGACAUUUUGUUUUUGACGCUAUUUAUUUGUCAUUCCUAACUACAUUUAUGAUCAAUGAUCACAUUGAAGAAAUGAUUUGUGUCUUUCCAAAAUGUUGUGAAUUUUAUCAAAGAAUUUUCAGGUAAAUGACACUAGUAGAGUACUGUAAUAGAAGAAAUAGUGCCUUGUAACAAACACAAAAUAUAACAGGGUAAAUAUUAUAGAAAAUGAUCAUCUAUUUGGCAGAAAUAUCUAAAGAUUUAACAUGAGACUGUUGGGUAAAUACCAUCUGUGCUGUCGGUAAUAUGUUUUCCUUUUCAUUCCAUGUAUUUGAUGUUAUUUAGGUAUGAAACUCUGCAGCUGUUAAAGAUGAAAAACGAGCCUUGAUAAGAGUCUGGAAGAAAUCUACCAAACAACAAGCCUCUCUACAUGCUCCAUAUUCCCAUCCUUACUUAAACCCCCUGUUCCCCUCUCUGCCUAGCUAUCCCACAUAACGUCUGUGUUAAUCUCCAUCAGAACCAGGCACAGCGCUGCACUCUGGCAUAUAUCAUCCCACACACUUGUCAAACAUAUGAAAAGAAGAUCGAAAGGAUGUCCCACAUGGUUUUGAUAAAAACAGAGGUAGUCUUUGGUCAGCGUAGUUUCCUCAUUCCUCCGCUGUGAUUAAUUGUGUGCAUUGUGUUUCAUUUGUGAAGUUGCAAAAAAAUGUGAAGGGAAAACUUGCUGUAUGAUAAAUAAACAGUAUAAUUGCUCUUCAUUGUUAAUAAAUCAUGAUUGUUAACAUUUCUGUCCUCUGCUGUCAAAUGUGCCCUUUUUUUGUUGUGGCGAAAAAUGGGGGAAGAGAGAGAAAAACAGAAAACAUUUGGGGUCUUUCCAGCUUGCAAAUGAAGCAGAAAGCAUGUUCUCUGCAUGACAAUGUUUACAUGCUCUUUCAGCCAAACAGCUUAGAUAAAUGUACAGAUUUAUGGGGAACUAUGAAAGUAACUGCACAUAAGUUGCCUCCUUUAUGAAAACUAAAAUUGCAUCUUCACUCGGCUCAGGUCUCAACAGUGCAGAUACAUGUGGCCUGUAACCACUCAAUAUGGUAUUUUAGCUAUAAUUGUAAUUGAUCAUGAAAGUCUAAAAACCACUUUACUUUGGAACAAAACGGCACCUAAGAUCAGACCUUUGCACACAGUCCAUCGCAUUUACAUUUGUCAGCAAUAAAUCAUGUCUACAUGUGAGAUAACAGACAGUAAAAACACACAAAAAGUAUAUGGCUGUUAUUUUCGUAUCAUAAAAAACCUGUAAAUCAUCAUUUAAAACUGGCCAUCAAACCCUUAAAAACAGAAAUGGGAACAAUCUAUGCUAAAAUAAGCCGUGUCUCCGACUGCGGAACCUUUUAUCUGCUGAUGGAAUUUAACCUAAAUUCCUCCAGAAUAUCAUAAAGCCACAAGUCUCCUGAGAAACAAACAAAAACCACAACACACAGCUUGUUUUAAAGCCAGUUUACAGUAUAUCUCAACAGAAUACAUAUAGAGAAACAUAUGAAAUCCAAGUCAGGAUGAGCUGACCCACAGCUGUGUUUUAUUUCAGAUGCUGACUUGUCUUUGUAUCCAUCAGGCUGGACUAUCAGAUAAUCAUCUUUUCUUUUUUUCCUGCAGGAAAAGACCAAUUAUGAGCUCACUUGUAUACAGAUUUAAGAAUGAAUAGUGAUUACAGAUGAUGACACAUUCUUAUGAGAUCUCUAUAGCUUCAUUAGACUUGGUCCUUCUGAGAAUACUCUGGAUUGGCUAUUACUGGAUUAAGGUACACUGAUCUGCAUGAAAUCCUGGUCUGGUUAUCAGCUCUUUAUACCAGCAGACUGUCUUUUAGGGUCAGGACCCUUUCAGGCUCUACUCUGAUCAGCUGGCUGAUUUAGUAAUGCCAUUAACAUGGAUCUCUCCCUGAAAUCCAGCUCUGAACCUCAAGAUUUUAACCUUCAAUAGUUUUCUUAGUCCAAUACGCAAAACAAAAAAGAAAUCAGGAUCUUUUCAGCUUUCUUAAACUAGUUAUGUCAAACUUAUGCUAACUUCUAAUGUAGUUUCUUGUUGGUUUGACAUUAUUCUAAUACAAUACUAGAAAAGCUAAAUCCAAGUUUCUAGUUAUGUAUGCUAAAAUCUUGGAAGGACCUUACCUUUGUAACCUGGGUUAUUUGAGUUAUGUUUGACUGUCAUGAUAAGGGUCAAGUUUUCUUUAUUUUGUUCAUUUCAUGUCUCAUGUCUCCUGUGUGUUUUAUUUUGAAGUCACUAACCCCUGUCUCUGCUUCAGAUGCGUUCCUGUCUGUCCUGCCCCCUCUUGUCAUACCUGUCCCCUGAUUACACCUGUCUCCCAACACCCUCUUUACCGAUUGUACUUAACCUCAUGUCUUUCACAAUCUUGUCACCAGUUUGUUGUACUUAUUGUCACGUUCCAGCACUGAGGGGAAAACUGGUUGGGAGGGGUAGUAUUUACAUUCAAGAUUUUUCCCCAAAACUGGCACUUCCUCAGAUCCUGCCUACCUCACCAUUAGUUAUUGUGAAAUUCAAAUAUUUUCAUUUAUCUUUAAUAAAAUUAGUGAGUAUACAGAAUGAUUCGGCAUAUACAACACACAGGCUGGCAGGAGGACAAGCGUGCUACUCUGAUAACUGUUAGGCUUACUACCAGCCCCCACACAAUUCAGCA